rnacentral:lncRNA from 1 species
UCCAUUGAUCCAUAGGACUGUGCUUGGUCUCAAACAAAUUGCAGUAGAAGGUUUCGAAUCCAUCGUCGUUUAUAAUUAAGAAAAAUAUAUCAUUUUAGAUAUACAAAAAUUUCAAAGUUCGUAACUUUGUCCCGAGACUGAGAGCAUCUCUAAUGCACCGGAUGUUUGGGACUCAAACCUUAUAUCUAAGUUUAAAUAUGAAUCCAAGCCUCUCAAUCAAUGAAGACUUAAAACUCAUAUAAGGUCUCCCGAAUUUGAGUUUCAAUAUAAGAUUUUUUUCCAAGGCGGAGUUCAUGCCAACAUAGAAAAAAAUUAUUAGGCUAGGAAAAGUAAGAUUUGAGUUUUGAGUCCAAUUUUCUCCAACGCACAUACCCAAAUUGCUAAAACUAAAAAUUUGGGUUUUGAUUCCAAUGUUUCCAACUUCAUCAAUGCAAAGACUCAAAUCUUAAAACUCAAAAAAUAUAAUAAUAAGUCUUUGUAUUAGAUGAGAAAAAUGAUAAACUCAAACCCACCACUUUUUGCGACUCAAAUAUUAAAAUACGAGGGCUAACUACAUCUCACAUCCUUGAAGUUUGAGGUAAUUUUUAAAUGGGCAAAUGUCUCAGCUUUUACACCCUAAGGUAAUAUAAUUGUAUCAUUUUUAUGUCUUUGGUCGGAUUGAUUGGUUUGAUCACUGAUUAAUUGAUGACAUGGUGAGUGUAUGCUCUUUAUAUGGGUUAAUAUGUAAGCAAAAUUUGCAUCACAUUGAUGAAAAAAACUCAUCAAUAUAAAUGGAGGAUUAGAUAUUCAAAGAGACAAAAUGUUUAAAUUGAUACAAUUUUAAAACUUUAGGUGCAAUGUGACAAAAAUAGAACCUCAUGGACUAUUUUCAAAAGGGUUUUUUUAUCAUAAACGAUCCCUGAAAUUGACCCUUAUCAUCAAGAUGGUCCCUAAAAUUAAAAAUCAAUCAAUGUAGUCGCUGAAAAUAAGUGUUGGAAAUCAAUGUGGUCCUUCAGUUACAAUUAUGUUAAAAUUCCAUUAAGUGCUGAUGUGGCACAUAAAUGGGCCCCACAAGAUUUACGGGUUUUUAUCAUAAAUGGUCACUAAAAUUGACCCACAACAUCAAGAUGGUCCUUGAAAUUGACCCAUACCAUCAAUAUGGUCCCUGAAAUUCAAAAUCAAUCAAUGUAGCUCUUGAAAAUAGGUGUUGCAAAUCAAUAUGAUCAUUCUGUCACAAUUAUGUAAAAAAAAAUUGUUAUGUGCUAAUGUGGGUUUAAUAAUUAUUUAAAAUUUUGUCAAAAUACCUUUUUGGACAAUGGAAUUUUUUUUUCUUAUAGUAGGGCCUACUCCAAAAAGAGCUCCCUUCCAUAAAUUCUCAAAGGCACAAAGCUUAACCAAGGCCUAAGAAGGGGUGUAGAAAUAGUUUUCAACCAAUAAUGGACGCACGUCAGUUAUAACCUCAUUAUCUCAAGGCAGACCUCAUCGUUCUUUGCAUCACUAUACCACUAGGGAAGCGACGAACAAGCUCUCCAAGAUUAAGGCUAUGAGGAUGAUCACCUAAAUAUUAACGGUGAUGUCCCAGAAGUCGUUUCCAAUGGGCCAAGCCGUCACCACAUGUGAUCUCGAUCCAGGUUCAAUUCAGUGAAGGGUGUCGAAAUGUGUAAAUAUGGGUGUACUGAGAUUUUUUAUUUUUUUUUAGAGAAUAGAGAGUGAAGGAGCUAUAGAAAUGUGAAUUGGGAUCAAUUUUUUAAAAAAUUUAAUUAGACUUGUGUGACCCAUUUAUGUGUCACAUUGCCGGAAUUGUGACUGAAUGACUACAUUGAUUUGAGACACUUACUUGAGGGACUACAUUGAUCAAUUUUCAAUUUUAGGGACCGUUUUGAUGUUGCAGGUCAAUUUCAAGGACCACUUUGAUGUCAUGGGUCAAUUUUAAGGACCAUUUGUGAGAAAAAAUAACUUAUGGGGCCCAUUUAUGUGCCACAUCACCACUUAAUAGAUAUUUUUAACAAAAUUGUGAUGGAAUGACCACAUUGAUUUGUGACACCUAUUUUCCUCAUGGAUAUCGCUGUGUGAAUUUUCACCAUUGUUUGUUCGUUCCUCGUUGCUCUCAUAAUUGCUUGCCUGCAUGGGUUCAUGUGUGCGUGUAUGAGGUGAGUAAUCCUAGUUGAGCAUCAGUAUUGUCUUUCUUUAUGUUGUAUGUGUGCAUGUAUAGGCAUGUUAGAUGAUCUCCAAAGGAGAUAUCAAAAAUGCUCCAUACACAUAUAACGGUAACAAAUGACAUACCAUUUUCUCCAAUUGAGAUGUCAAAGCUGACAUGGAAAAGAAGGCUAAGCUGGCAUGGACAAAGAGAUGUCAAAUUUGAAGCUGCCAUCAAAUAUGAUUUUUGCUAUUUCCAAAGGCAUUCCACUUACCUUACCUUAAAUGCUAGCACAAUUAAGUAUUAUUUUAUUAUUUUUAAACCAAUAACAACCCAACUUUUAUUAUUUUUGUUCAAAGAAAAAGAUAAAUGAAAUGAUAAAUGUUGGUAUAUAAAGUGGAAGCAAAAUAUUGAUAGUAUGUAAAAUUGCCAAGUCAGCCAUCAAAUUGAAAUUUGAAGUUUUGAAUUUGGCGUCUCAUUUAGAGAUGCUCUUAGCUUGUUGAGGCUUUACCUCAUAUAGGCUUAGUGGCUUGUGAUAUUUCAUGUUUCUGCUCACUGAUCUAUUCCUUACAGGUAAAUGUUGAUCGUCCAGUUGUGGUGAUUCCUUUAUCCAUGCAUGCCUUAGGUCUUCA